CCUUCGAUAGCUCAGCUGGUAGAGCGGAGGACUGUAGUUGGUUGUCUAACUAAGAGGCAUCCUUAGGUCGCUGGUUCGACUCCGGCUCGAAGGA
rnacentral:tRNA from 1 species